rnacentral:rRNA from 1 species
UCAGAACGAACGCUGGCGCAAGGCGUAACACAUGCAAGUCGAGCGGGCCCUUCGGGGUCAGCGGCGGACGGGUUAGUAACGCGUGGGAACGUGCCCUUUGCUCUGGAAUAGCCCUGGGAAACUGGGGGUAAUACCGGAUGUGCCCUGAGGGGGAAAGGUUUACCGGCAAGGGAUCGGCCCGCGUCUGAUUAGGUAGUUGGUGGGGUAACGGCUCACCAAGCCGACGAUCGGUAGCUGGUUUGAGAGGAUGAUCAGCAACACUGGGACUGAGACACGGCCCAGACUCCUACGGGAGGCAGCAGUGGGGAAUCUUGGACAAUGGGGGCAACCCUGAUCCAGCCAUGCCGCGUGGGUGAUGAAGGCCUUAGGGUCGUAAAGCCCUUUCGCCGGGGAAGAUAAUGACGGUACCCGGUAAAGAAGCCCCGGCUAACUCCGUGCCAGCAGCCGCGGUAAUACGGAGGGGGCUAGCGUUGUUCGGAAUGACUGGGCGUAAAGCGCGCGUAGGCGGAUCAGGAAGUUGGGGGUGAAAUCCCGGGGCUCAACCUCGGAACGGCCUUCAAGACUCCUGGUCUUGAGUUCGAGAGAGGUGAGUGGAAUUCCGAGUGUAGAGGUGAAAUUCGUAGAUAUUCGGAGGAACACCAGUGGCGAAGGCGGCUCACUGGCUCGACACUGACGC